UGGGGAAUAUUGCACAAUGGGCGCAAGCCUGAUGCAGCCAUGCCGCGUGUAUGAAGAAGGCCUUCGGGUUGUAAAGUACUUUCAGCGGGGAGGAAGGGAGUAAAGUUAAUACCUUUGCUCAUUGACGUUACCCGCAGAAGAAGCACCGGCUAACUCCGUGCCAGCAGCCGCGGUAAUACGGAGGGUGCAAGCGUUAAUCGGAAUUACUGGGCGUAAAGGGCUUGUAGGUGGCUGGUUGCGUCUGUCGUGAAAGCUCAUGGCUUAACUGUGGGUUUGCGGUGGGUACGGGCUGGCUUGAGUGCAGUAGGGGAGGCUGGAAUUCCUGGUGUAGCGGUGGAAUGCGAAGAUAUCAGGAGGAAUACCGAUGGCGAAGGCGGGUCUCUGGGCUGUUACAGACACUGAGGAGCGAAAGCAUGGGGAGCGAACAGG
rnacentral:rRNA from 1 species